rnacentral:misc_RNA from 1 species
AAAGUCGUAACAAGGUCUCCGUAGGUGAACCUGCGGAGGGAUCAUUGAAGAGUUAGGGCCUCGCUGCCCGACCUCCAACCCUUUGUUUAACCGUCUCUGUUGCCUCGGGGGCGACCCUGCCGUCCGCGGCUCGGGCCCCCGGCGGACCACUUAACACUGCGUCUUUGCGUCUGAGUGAUUUAUCAAAUAAUCAAAACUUUCAACAACGGAUCUCUUGGUUCUG